AGAAUCAGGCAUAGGUUGUGAGUGAAAUCAGAACUAAAGAACCAACAUUUACUGAGCCCUUAAUAGGUGCCAAGCAUUAUUCUAAACUUCUUAUAGAGAUGAUCACAAACAGAAAAUGAAGCUCAUAGAUCAUGCAUGGAUGAGAAAGUGAACUCAAUUCAUUAGCAUCAGUCUCUAUAAUAUAAAUCAUUUCAGACAGUCAAAUACUUUCAGGUCCAUUCAAAUCAAUUUCCCUCUACAUAUCAAUAAACAUUCUUUCUGUUGGCUUCUGGAUUGGCCUGAAGUGUUCCAGAUCCCAGCAGAAGCAGCCUGGAUUCUCAGAGAUCUUCCUUCCCCAAGUGGGCUUGUGAUGCCCUCGUGCCUUCUCCUCCCCAAAGCUGCCAACCCUCUCUCUUCUUUCACUUGCACCAUGCCCUCCCCACCCCAUGCCUGACUAUGAAAUGGAAAACAGCCCCUGUGCUCUCUCCCCUUCCAGCACAGACAUCCACUUCCUCCAAACUGUGACUGACAACCACUUUUGAAACAGGGAUCAUUAAAAUUCUAAACACGAAGUGUUUAAAAACUCAGAAUAUGCUGGGAACCAUGCUUCCUGGAGCACUCUUCAUUCUGCAUCUGAAAUCAUAAGCACAGUUGGGUUCUGACCCUCCCUCCAACUGUCAGUCAAUUCCUUUUUGGGCCCUAUGUGUUGAUUAAAUUAAAUGCUGCUGAUGUCAUAGAGACAUCUGGUGUCUCCAAGUUCCAAGUGCUCAUUUUCUAACUCAGAGGCAACCCAGAGGAGAUCUCUUCUGACUCUGUGAGAAAUUUCCUCCAUAGCAUGGGAAACUUCAGGGUAAAUGAUCCAUCAGCACCAGUGCCUUAAUAUAGGUCAACCUGUGGAGAGUCACUCUCAAGACUCAGGUGUCCAAGAACAGUUCAUCCAAGACCUCAUCUCCCCAUUGGCCACCUUCUGUUUUGCCCUUUGCUCUCUACAAAUUUAAGACCCAGAAACACAAGAAGAGCCUUUGCAAGAGCCAUUGGAAACCAGUAUCCCCACAGCAGGAUGGAUGAUGCAGCAUCAUGAAUGCUGAUGUAACUGUGUGAAACACAUGGCUUCAGCAAUUUAACAACAAGAAGAGCUACACUGUUGCAACAGACAGGUUCUGACAAGCUACAGGUCUUUAAUAAUAACAACACAGUUGUCUUUUUCUCACAGUGGGAGUCAUAAAACCACCCAGAGACAGGAUAUUUGAUGAUAAAGAAUAUGAAGAUGAUUCCUGGAUAUGAAACAAGGAGACAGUUAUAAGAGACUGAAGAAUCAUCAGGUGCUCUGAUUGGACAUUAACCAAAUACAUUACUACCUCCUGCCUAUCCAUCAUUCUAAAUCUUUAGGCUAACUCCCCAAGCCUUUUAUGUGUUUAUGAACUUUGUAAAGAAAUUUUAGAUAGAUUGCUUUUAUGAACAGAAGAUUCACCAAAAGAGUAUUUCCUAAGGUCUCACACACCUUAGUGGUGACUCUAAAUAAAGUGGAGGGGAGACAUUUGCCAUGUCCCAGUUCUCAUAAAUGUAUCUCAGAGGACAAAAGUAUCAUAAAGAUGACUCCAGCUUUUUCUGA